UUUAAAAUGUACUUGCUCGUGUGUAAUUUGGUCAUAUCAGAUUCUGUGUUCAGAUGCAAAAAUAAGUUUCUUUCCAAAUGAAUAACAAGACAUCUGUAAAUAAACUUUUCAACAAAUAUUGAGUUUGGCCCGCAAUUUUGUCCCAGUUUUUAAUUUUGUCCCAUUGUGAAUUUGAGUUUGACACCCUUGCUUUAGGCUGUGCGUGCAGUAAUAAGGAGACAGACACUGGCUGAGCCGGUGCAUAAAUGUUAGAUUUUCUGGUGGUGUGCGAUAGUUAAAGAAAUAUUACUUUUAAAAAAAUAAAAUACAUCUUUAAAUUUUGGCCAAUGAGCUCUGGCACAUAAUAAACAGAAAUACUGCUUCAUCAUUUCAUGUACCUUUGAAUCUACAGUUGGUCUUAUUUAAAAAUGUUUUUUUAUUAAAACUAUCAUAGCUGGAGUGUUAAAAAAAUAAAAGUGCCAUAAGAUAUUUGGAAGUUGUUAUUUUAUUUCUAUUACCCAACAGUUAUCCAAUUCAUGUUUGUUCUGUUUUUGUUUUUUUUUUUCCUCUAGGAAUCAUUGAGGCGUGACAUCCUUCAGAGGUUUUACGAUCGAUUGUCAAGCAUCUUGGAGAAGCAACCUGUUGAUGGGGAAAGGCUAUAGAGCUCCGAGAGUUGACGUCACUUCUCCCGGCAUGCAACAGUUCAAAUCGAAACGGCGCCAUUUGGCAGGCAGAAGCCGGCAGCUGGGCUAUUUGUUAUUGUCAGAAAACUCAAUCAAACAGGAAAUAUGGUAGAUUCCUGUUGUGCCCCAGGAUGCAGAACAGACACGGACAACAUAAGGAAUGAGCCAUCUACAGGAUUCCUUAAGAUCCGGAGCGCCGCAAACGCUGGAUCAUUAUAAUAAAACGCACUAGUGACCAGGCUAAAAUGAAGCUGUGGGAUCCUGAGAGUAAAGGAUUUCGCUUAUGCAGCGACCGCUUCAUAUCAGGUACUUAAACCAACGUUUCCUCAACUGUGUAUGGUAUUUAUUUUAAAUGCUUUUAUUAUGAUUCUUAGUGGGCUUCCUAAACUUAUUUUGGCGUGGCUUUUUCUGUCUUAUUACUCAUAGCAGCAAGUAAACAUCACGUAAAACGUUGCCUCGUGAGUUCUGCGUGCUGCCGUUUCCGUGUUUUAUGAUCACAAUAAUUAACCGGCUAAGCUGUAUUUAAUUUUUAAGCAAUGGUUGAUCAUUUGUCAGAUCACACAUAAAAAGCACUUUGGAUUGCUAUUAUCUGUCUCACCGAGACUACUUACGUGUAAAUCUGUUAUUUGUCCGUCCAUCCAUCCAUUUUCAUCCGCGUAUCCGGAGUCGGGUUGCGGGGGCAGUAGCGUGACUUCCCUCUCCCCAGCCGCCGGAGCCAGCUCCUCCGGGUAAAUCCCAAGGGGUUCCCCAGUCAGGUCCGGUGUUGUGCCGGUAAGAAGCCCGCUCCGACAGCUUCUGGCGUCGGAGCGGGCAGUAGAGUCGAGAGUCCCAGACCUUCUCCCCAGCUCCUCCGGCCGGGGGAAUCCCAAGGGGUUCCCCCGGCCAGGUCCGGUGUUGUGCCGGUAACAAGUCCGCUCCGACAGCUUCUGGCGUUUUUAAAAAGUAUCCCAGGGGCACGGUAAGGGUUGGAGAUGUUUAGUCUAUUUAAUUUCUGACUAUAAAACGAUUUCUUCUGUUUUAAAGUGUGAAGUAAACUCCGACGAAGUAAAAUCCAAGCGGAUCCCGUUCAUGUUCAUGGUUACAUCCGUGUUUGUUUACCUUUUUUGCAUGCCAAAAUGGCGUCCACUAACUGAGAGUCACGUGGGGUCCGGAACUCUAUUAGGUGCUCUAGGUGACAUUGUUGAUGUGGGAGGGAGAGGAUAUACUUUCUGCUCUUUCCGAUCUGAAUACUAUUAUCCAGCAGGAAAGAGAUAAUCAAAAGACAUUAAUAACAGUAGACGUUGAAAGAGGUUCUCGUGGCCGUCAACGAUUGGCGGUGUCGCGAGAGGCUCUCGAACACCUUGUGGAAAUGGGUCUGCCAACAAGUGUCAUUACCAAACUCCUUGGUGUAUCCAGAGCAACUCUAUUUAGACGGAUGUCUGAAAAUAAUAUAUUUAUUUAUAUAUUUGUAUCUGCCACAUACAGUAAAUGCAGUGAUGAGGAACUAGAUUAUUUUAUCACAGUAAUUAAGAGCAACAUGCCAGAUGCUGGGUACAGGGUAGUCCGAGGUGCUCUACUUGCCCAGGGACAUAGAGUACAGUGGGACCGACUGUAUGCAUCCAUGCAUCGUGUGGACAGUGCGGGUGUACUUGCUCGAAUGACACAUCUGGGAUGUGUAGUGAGAAGGACGCACACAGUUCCUUGCCCAAAGUAUAUGGUGCACAUUGACACCAAUCACAAGCUCAUCAGGUAAUGUCUGUGUGUAAUUGGAGAUGUUAUUUUUUGUUUUGGGAGUUACAUUUUUAAUUGUCUGUGUUUUAACCAAGCCCCCACAAUGCCGCUCUAAAAAUGGUCCCAUCCCAGAAGUAAGAAAAAUUGCAGUUCCACCCUCAUCCGCUGGGGGCUGGUGCCAGAAGCGAGCAAAUCCUCAUUGACUCCCAUGUUAAAAAUACCAAUUUCACAGCAGAAAUGAACAUGUUUACAGCCUGGUACCAGAACAUGUUUUUGUCUAAAUUAUCUAGUUUAUACUCAUGACAACUCUGAGGGGGGUGAAUUUUUUUCUCACUCUUCUGUUUAAGUGUAUUGAAAGCCUAAAAUUCUGUAUAAUUAAUGAGCAUCCGACCCACGUGACCACAGAGCUAACUCUGUGGAAAGGCCUCAGUACAGCCUCGGUCCCUCCUGGAAACUGUUACGGGAUUUUGAGUCUCUGUGCUUGUGAAUUCUGUUUUGGAUAUUAUUUGUGCAAUUGUUAGACAAAAUGACUUGCUGUGGUAUUAAUUGCACUAACAGAGCGUCCAAGGAGUCCACUUCAUUUUUUUCGGUAAGUUAAAAUCUAUAUUUGUAGUUUACGUCACUGCCGCCUUUAAACUAGCUGUUUACCGAAGUAGCUAGCUAACUAUCAGUUUAACAUGUAGCAUGUACUGUUUAACCCAUAGACUGUACAUACAGUUUAUUUAACCAUGAAAUUUAAAUGUAAAAUACGGUAAAAUAAUUAAGAGUGCAUAUUUCGAUGGGUAAAAGGGUAAAACCCAGUGCAUUUAAGAUAAAAAUGGGUUGAAAUAUGACCGCUUGGAGGGACACUUCUGUGUUCCAUUGUUCCAUCCGGUACUCCGCAGCGGUCAGGCCGGGCAGCCUGACCGAUGCGGCGGCUAGCUUCUGCGCGAGCUGACCGCUCGUGUAGCUCUCGGACUCUGAGACAGAUCUGACCGUGGGGGAAACCGGAGCACCCGGAGGAAACCCACGCAUGCAUGGGGAGAACACGCAACUCCACGCAGAAAGGCCGCAGCCGAGUUUCAAACCUGCAACUUUCAUGCUGCGAGGCAACAGUGCUAACAACUGUGACACCAUGCAGCCAUUGAUGCCCGAAUGUUGUUCCUAACAUCAGACACUGGUCCUCCAUGUAGGUAUCAACCAUAUAGAUCAGGAGAGGGGCAGUUUAAGGAGUUCUGGUCUGCUUCUGGUCCAGCUGCUUCUUUAGGUGUUGCUAAGAUCGUCCAUUAAGAGGUCUGUUUAUAGGUUCAUCAUCCAUUUUUGUCUGACGUUCCCUAAUCCCAGCCUCUAAUCCCAUUCCAGCAGCUGUUUUCCUGGUUGAGACUGCAGGUGUUCUGUGGCAGUGAGUGAAUCCUCACACAAUUCCUUCACUCGUAGUCAUAUAGACAGCAUGAUGGUUUGUGUGACCCGCGCGGUUUCACUUACACCCCUUUAAUGAUCAGGCUGUUUUUAUUAUUUUUAUCAGCUGAUAGCAGUUAAAAUUAUGGGGGGGGAAAAAAACCUUUUAUCUGUUUUUGAUAACUUAAUGCCCAGGAAGAGCAUCUUCUCUAGACAUUAAAUAUAACCCAAAUGUUUUAUUAUGAGCAGAUCUGAUGAAGGUGUAGACAAGCAGUCUGCAAAGUAAAACUUGUUUAGAGUCCAAACUCUUACUAAAGCUUUUGAAAAGAAAAAAUGGUUGAAUUUUGAGAAAUAUCCACAGCAGGGGAGCGAGACCUCUGAAAAAUGUAUAUUUUCUCUGAAUUCAUAGAAUAAUGUGAGGAUUCUGGGAAAAAUUGGGAUUCUGAGAUUAAAACGUAAAUCUGUCUAAUCAUAAUUCUGCCAGUUUUUGUGUCCUUCUGCUGUGGAAAGUCGUGCAACAUGAAGAUACUGAGAAGAUGCUUAAACCUGUAUUUUUAUUCCAUCCAUAAAUAAAAUCAUGAGCUAUUUUUUAAUCCAAAUUUGAUCCAAAGGGCCAUCGUUGGUUCCAGACCCGUUCUAGAAAAUUCCUCUAAUCUUAAAGUCAUCAUCAGUUUCUUCCUUUUAACAAAUAUUUAUUUGUUCAAAUAUUUAAUAUUUAUAACUGGAAUAUUUGUUCCUCCCUCUCCCACUGCAGUUAGUCCUGUCCUGCAACCCUGUUUUUGCAGCUUAGUGAAGCCAACCAUCACUAACCUGGGGGUGGUUUUGGACCCAGAGAUGCAGAUGGACUCCCACAUUAGCCAGGUGGUUAGAUCCUGCUUUUCCUGGCUUCGCCAGCUACCAAAGAUGAAGUCCAUCCUGAAAGACGUGUCAUAUUUUCUCCCCAAGCCUGACCUGACCGUAGAUAUACUGCAGCUCGGUGAGUUGGUAGAUAGUGCUUGAUGUUAGAAGUCUGUAUGCCAUCAGAUAAACUCGCUCUUUUUUUUUUGGGGUGAGGCUUAUAUUGCAGUACGCUCGAGUCAGUAAUUUCCGGUAAGUAUUUUAAAGCCAUAUACUUAAUUAGUUCUUUGUAUGAAUUUUUCCUCUAGGUGAUCCAGAGAGGCUUGACCUUUGGGUGAGCAACCAAAGAAGAGAGGGCUGGACUCCCAAUUCAUUCUCCCGCUUGUGCAGUGAACACUUUGAGAGUCGUCACUUCACCACGGACUCCAGGGGGAGAGUUUGCCUGAAGGACACAGCCGUACCUACAAUCUUCUCGUCCUUUAAGGUCAAAAAACCUGUUCCAAGAAGGGAAGAACAGGUAAGUAGGAAUGACAAGGUACGUUUUGAGAAGGUUGCAGAUGUAGAUGCAGGUGUACACAGUCCCAUAAAAGUUGGUGUUGAUCUGAGCAAUAUAUUGAUGUGUGGAGUCACCUCGAGGUCUUUGUUACUCAAAAUGUAACACAGUAUAACACUUCCUCUGCAAGCAGUUGAGUGUUAUACUGCUCAUUCUGGUCACAGUGUUCAACACCAGAAUGACUCAGACUCUGGUCAGUUUAACGCUGUGCCAUUACAGCCAAAUAGCAUCCUGAGUGACCAUUGCUAUCAGAUCAGAGUCUCCCAAAACACUUAAAAGGAGAGUUCUGUCGGCAAAUGAAAAGGUAUGCGUAGUUCAGAAAAAGCUUAGAUUGCAAUCCUGGAAGACAAGGAGACUGAAGGCAAGAAUUUCUUCUUUGAAAAGUGUCACCAAAAUUCUUCAGAAGAAAGUAAUCAUGUCCAUGUGCUUGUAAAGAUGGCUUCAGCGUGGUGCUGCAAAAUUAGAUUAAAUCAUGUAGCACGGCAGGAGACGGACCGGAUAAAAGAAGGCAAAACUGUCCGCAAGAAGCUCACAAAAUUAAUCCAUUUUUAUGGAGAUUAGAGAAAAACUGUCCUCGUCAUAUCUUUUAGUCUGUCUGUACAUUUUGUUAUGUGCUUGUCAGAAGUUGUGACCAUGAACAUUUUUCUGAUAUUUGCAGACAGAACAUAACAUAUGAAGAGGCUUCCUUUUAUUGGACAUCCUUUUAACUGUUACUUAGAGCCUGCAUGAACGGGGCCUAAGUAUACACUGACGAAGCUCUUUAUCCUUGAAGUUUGACCCCAACAUACAGGAUGCUACACUAAGUUGUAAAUGGACUUUUAAACAGUCAGGCACGGUUUCAUUUACUGUUACAUAUAUGUUACUAUCUAUCCCUUAGAGUCUGCAUGAACGAGACCUAAGGUGAUAUUCUAACAUUUAUGUAAGUGACAGUCGUGUGACUCAGCAGUUUUUCACUGAAAUAUAAAUUAACGAGUGGAUGACUGAGACCUUCGAUGGUGCAGUUCCCCGUUCUACCACUAGAUGCUUUUCCUACACGUGGUCUGAGGUUUUCUGGUGUUUAGGAACAUUUCCACAAACAGGUACGACAUGAUGACCACCACACAGUGUGUAGUUUGUUCCUACACACGUGUGUGAGUACGGUUGGGACCCCUGGGUGUGUGUGAAUGUCUGAGUAAAAUGAAAGUCUAGGUAACUUCUACACCAUAAUACAUGUUCCGACAGACCGAGACAGUCUAUUUGAGAAAUGUGUCAUUUGCUAAACUUGGGAUUUUGAUGCCACGGAGAAUAAUUUACUUUUGUUUUUAUACCUAUAGUGGAGGAGUUUAAGUAUUUCGGGGUCUUGUUCACGAGUGAGGGUUGGAGGGAUCGGGAGAUCGACAGGCGGAUUGGUUCGGCGUCUGCAGUGAUGCGGACGCUGAGCCGAUCUGUCGUGGUGAAGAGGGAGCUGAGCCAGAAAGCCAGGCUCUCUAUUUACCGGUCGAUCUACGUCCCAAUCCUCACCUAUGGUCAUGAGCUUUGGGUAAUGACCGAAAGAACGAGAUCACGGAUACAAGCGGCCGAAAUGAGUUUCCUCCGUAGGGUGGCCGGGCUCAGCCUUAGAGAUAGGGUGAGGAGCUCGGACAUUCGGGAGGGACUCGGAGUAGAACCGCUGCUCCUCCGGAUCGAAAGGAGCCAGUUGAGGUGGUUUGGGCAUCUGGUCAGGAUGCCUCCUGGACGCCUCCCUGGGGAGGUGUUUCGGGCAUGUCCUGCCGGCAGGAGGCCCCCGGGUCGACCCAGGACACGCUGGAGAGGUUACAUCUCCAAUCUGGUCCGGGAACGCCUUGGGGUCCUGCCGGAGGAGCUGGUGGAGGUGGCCGGGGAGAGGACGGUCUGGAGCUCCCUAGUUGGGAUGCUGCCCCCGCGACCCGGACCCGGAUAAGCAGAGGAAGACGACAACGACGACUCAAAAUAGUAUUUU